GACGAACGCUGGCGGCGUGCCUAAUACAUGCAAGUUGAGCGCUGAAGGUUGGUACUUGUACCAACUGGAUGAGCAGCGAACGGGUGAGUAACGCGUGGGGAAUCUGCCUUUGAGCGGGGGACAACAUGUGGAAACGAAUGCUAAUACCGCAUAAAAACUUUAAACACAAGUUUUAAGUUUGAAAGAUGCAAUUGCAUCACUCAAAGAUGAUCCCGCGUUGUAUUAGCUAGUUGGUGAGGUAAAGGCUCACCAAGGCGAUGAUACAUAGCCGACCUGAGAGGGUGGUCGGCCACAUUGGGAGUGAGACACGGCCCAAACCCCUACGGGAGGCAGCAGUAGGGAAUCGUCGGCAAGCGACGAAAGUCUGACCGCGCAACGCCGCGGGAGUGAAGAAGGGUUUCGGGUCGUAAAACUCUGUUGGUAGGGAAGAACGUGGGUGAGAGUGGAAAGCUCAUCAAGUGACGGUAACUACCCAGAAAGCGACGGCUAACUACGUG
rnacentral:rRNA from 1 species